AAUUCACCUAGGAGAGCAAACUCCGAACAACAAACCCGGGCAGGUGGAGGUCGUUAGCGUGAGCAGUUCACCUAGGAGAGCAAACUCCGAACAACAAACCCGGCCAGGUGGAGGUCGUUAGCGUGAGCAGUUCACCUAGGAGAGCAAACUCCGAACAAUAAACCCGGCCAGGUGGAGGUCGUUAGCGUGAGCAGUUCACCUAGGAGAGCAAACUCCGAACAACAAACCCGGGCAGGUGGAGGUCGUUAGCGUGAGCAGUUCACCUAGGAGAGCAAACUCCGAACAACAAACCCGGCCAGGUGGAGGUCGUUAGCGUGAGCAGUUCACCUAGGAGAGCAAACUCCGAACAACAAACCCGGCCAGGUGGAGGUCGUUAGCGUGAGCAGUUCACCUAGGAGAGCAAACUCCGAACAAUAAACCCGGCCAGGUGGAGGUCGUUAGCGUGAGCAGUUCACCUAGGAGAGCAAACUCCGAACAACAAACCCGGCCAGGUGGAGGUCGUUAGCGUGAGCAGUUCACCUAGGAGAGCAAACUCCGAACAACAAACCCGGCCAGGUGGAGGUCGUUAGCGUGAGCAGUUCACCUAGGAGAGCAAACUCCGAACAACAAACCCGGCCAGGUGGAGGUCGUUAGCGUGAGCAGUUCACCUAGGAGAGCAAACUCCGAACAACAAACCCGGCCAGGUGGAGGUCGUUAGCGUGAGCAGUUCACCUAGGAGAGCAAACUCCGAACAAUAAACCCGGCCAGGUGGAGGUCGUUAGCGUGAGCAGUUCACCUAGGAGAGCAAACUCCGAACAAUAAACCCGGGCAGGUGGAGGUCGCUAGCCGUGGUAGGCAAUUCACCUAGGAGAAGGACAACUCCGAACAACAAACCCGGGCAGGUGGAGGUCGUUAGCCGUGGUAGGCAAUUCACCUAGGAGAGGGACAACUCCGAACAACAACCCCGGGCUUGUGGUGCUCGUUAGAUGUCGUAGACAGUCCACGUGAUGGGAACACCAAAGAAAAUGAAAAUGAAAAAGAACACCAGAAAAAAGGAAAAUAAUGAAACGAAACAUCGAGAAAAGAAAAAAACAAACACAGAUCAUCCACCUUCAGGCCCUGACAAACAUCACCAAAACUCUGGGUGGGUCUUUUCUGGGGAGAAAAAGGCUCAUCCAGACCAAGAAACAUCAACAAGGGAUGAAAUAAAAAAGAACACCGAAAAAUAUAGAAAAGAAAAACAACAUCGAAAAAGAAAAGUAACAGCAAUAAAAGAACAAUAUCAGGAAAAGAAAAAUACAAAGAAACAUCAUCCACCUUUCGGCCCUCAGUAACAUCACCAAAAUUAUGGGUGGGUCUCUUCUGGGAGGAAAGCGGCUCACCCAGACCAUCGAAGAACAUCAACAAAAGGAUGAUAUAGAAAAGAACAUCAAGAAAGAAUGAAAAAGAAAUAGAAAAGAAAAAAUAUCGAAAAUAAUCACAUCAAUAAAAAGAACAAAAAGAAAACCACGACAUUAAGAAAAGAAAAACACAAGAAACAUCAUCCACCUUUCGGCCCUCACUAACAUCACCAAAACUCUGGGUGAGUCUCUUCUGGGGAGAAAAAGGCUCAUCCAGACCAAGGAACAUCAACAAGGGAUGAUAUAGAAAAGAACAUCAGGAAAGAAUGAAAAAGAGAAAAAUAACAAAAUAUAUCGAAAAAGAAAAA